UACGUAGGGGGCCAGCGUUGUCCGGAAUCAUUGGGCGUAAAGCGCGCGUAGGCGGCCAGAUAAGUCCGGUGUGAAAGUCAAAGGCUCAACCUUUGAAUGCCGCUGGAACUGCCUGGCUUGAGUCCGGAAGGGGCGAGUGGAAUUCCUGGUGUAGCGGUGAAAUGCGCAGAUAUCAGGAGGAACACCAAUGGCGAAGGCAGCUCGCUGGGACGUGACUGACGCUGAGACGCGAAGCGUGGGAGCAAACAGGAUAGAU
rnacentral:rRNA from 1 species